GGUGGAGCAUGUGGUUUAAUUAGAAGCAACGCGAAGAACCUUACCAAAUCUUGACAUCCUUUGACCGCUCUAGAGAUAGAGUUUUCCCCUUCGGGGGACAAAGUGACAGGUGGUGCAUGGUUGUCGUCAGCUCGUGUCGUGAGAUGUUGGGUUAAGUCCCGCAACGAGCGCAACCCUUAAACUUAGUUGCCAGCAUUUAGUUGGGCACUCUAAGUUGACUGCCGGUGACAAACCGGAGGAAGGUGGGGAUGACGUCAAAUCAUCAUGCCCCUUAUGAUUUGGGCUACACACGUGCUACAAUGGACAAUACAAAGGGCAGCGAAACCGCGAGGUCAAGCAAAUCCCAUAAAGUUGUUCUCAGUUCGGAUUGUAGUCUGCAACUCGACUACAUGAAGCUGGAAUCGCUAGUAAUCGUAGAUCAGCAUGCUACGGUGAAUACGUUCCCGGGUCUUGUACACACCGCCCGUCACACCACGAGAGUUUGUAACACCCGAAGCCGGUGGAGUAACCAUUUUGGAGCUAGCCGUCGAAGGUGGGACAAAUGAUUGGGGUGAAGUCGUAACAAGGUAGCCGUAUCGGAAGGUGCGGCUGGAACACCUCAUUCUA
rnacentral:rRNA from 1 species